rnacentral:rRNA from 1 species
AGUGAACGCUGGCGGCAGGCCUAACACAUGCAAGUCGAACGGCAGCACAGUAAGAGCUUGCUCUUACGGGUGGCGAGUGGCGGACGGGUGAGGAAUACAUCGGAAUCUACUUUUUCGUGGGGGAUAACGUAGGGAAACUUACGCUACUACCGCAUACGACCUACGGGUGAAAGCAGGGGAUCUUCGGACCUUUCGCGAUUGAAUGAGCCGAUGUCGGAUUAGCUAGUUGGCGGGGUAAAGGCCCACCAAGGCGACGAUACGUAGCUGGUCUGAGAGGAUGAUCAGCCACACUGGAACUGAGACACGGUCCAGACUCCUACGGGAGGCAGCAGUGGGGAAUAUUGGACAAUGGGCGCAAGCCUGAUCCAGCCAUACCGCGUGAGUGAAGAAGGCCUUCGGGUUGUAAAGCCCUUUUGUUGGGAAAGAAAAGCAGCAGGUUAAUACCCCGCUGUUCUGACGGUACCCAAAGAAUAAGCACCGGCUAACUUCGUG